GUGAGUUCGACGGCCAGUGAUUAGAGUUUGAUCCUGGCUCAGGACGAACGCUGGCGGCGUGCCUAACACAUGCAAGUCGAACGGACGAUAUACCUUCGGGUGUAAAGUUAGUGGCGGACGGGUGAGUAACGCGUGAGCAACCUACCUUUAAGAGGGGGAUAACGUACCGAAAGGUAUGCUAAUACCGCAUAGAGUGUUUGAGUGGCAUCACUUAGACAUAAAAGAUUUAUUGCUUAAAGAUGGGCUCGCGUCUGAUUAGAUAGUUGGUGAGAUAACGGCUCACCAAGUCAACGAUCAGUAGCCGGACUGAGAGGUCGAACGGCCACAUUGGAACUGAGAAACGGUCCAGACUCCUACGGGAGGCAGCAGUGGGGAAUAUUGCGCAAUGGAGGGAACUCUGACGCAGCAACGCCGCGUGAAGGAAGAAGGUCUUCGGAUUGUAAACUUCUUUGAUGCAGGACGAAAGAAGUGACGGUACUGCAAAAACAAGUCACGGCUAACUACGUGCCAGCAGCCGCGGUAAUACGUAGGUGGCGAGCGUUGUCCGGAAUUACUGGGUGUAAAGGGCGAGUAGGCGGGCAGACAAGUCCGCAGUGAAAUCUCACGGCUUAACUGUGAGGGUGCUGUGGAAACUGUAGGUCUUGAGUGAUGGAGAGGCAGAUGGAAUUCCCGGUGUAGCGGUGAAAUGCGUAGAGAUCGGGAGGAACACCAGUGGCGAAGGCGGUCUGCUGGACAUUAACUGACGCUGAGGAGCGAAAGCGUGGGUAGCAAACAGGAUUAGAUACCCUGGUAGUCCACGCUGUAAACGAUGGAUACUAGGUGUGGGAGGUACUGACCCUUUCCGUGCCGGAGUAAACGCAAUAAGUAUCCCACCUGGGGAGUACGGCCGCAAGGUUGAAACUCAAGGAAUUGACGGGGGCCCGCACAGCAGUGGAGUAUGUGGUUUAAUUCGAAGCACGCGAAGAACCUUACCAGGGCUUGACAUCCCACUAACGAAGCAGAGAUGCAUUAGUACCUUUCGGGGGAGUGGAGACAGGUGGUGCAUGGUUGUCGUCAGCUCGUGUUCUGAGAUGUUGGGUUAAGUCCCGCACGAGCGCACCCCUACGUCAGUUGCUACGAAGAGCACUCUGACCAGACUGCGUGAUAAACGGAGGAGAGCGGGGAGGACGUCAUCAUCUAUGCCCUCAAUGUUCUGGCGUGCACGGUACAUCAUGGCGAGUCAAUCGAGCGGACAGUGAGUGUGAGUCGGAGGCCUAAAACGUCCACGCUCAAUAUGUAGGGUGUAAAUGCCGCU
rnacentral:rRNA from 1 species